rnacentral:lncRNA from 1 species
CCGCCGCCGAGCCUCUGCCCUAGUCGAUCCCAGAAGAGCCAGAAACUCACUGUAGGAUCAGCCAUGAGGCCACAAAGGAAGCACAGCCACGGCUUGGUGGAGACUCGCUGGGGGUGCGGGGGUGUCCAGGGGCUGUUCAGCUCUUGGGUUUGCAGACACUUCUAGAAGCUGGAGUGCUUUUUGUGGCUUUGUGUCCCCUGGCCAUCCUCCAUGUCCUCUGGGUCCUCCACAAACACUGGCUCCCAGCUGGUUGAGGUCCGGAUACUGGAAGCAGCAACAGGCCACAGCGCACACACUACCCCUAAACUGUCCACUGAAGGACUUCAGAGAGACUGUUGGUAAUGUGCUUGCCACGCAGGAGCUAUGACCCAGUCUGUUGCUGUGGAGGGAUGCGCACAGGAGCUCACAGGAACUUGAGGGAAUGCUGACAUCAGCUCAGCUUCUCCAGCCACCGAAGCCCUGGACAGACCUGCAAGAAGUGCAGAGAGGAUCAACACACAAGCCUCGAGUUGGGCCUGGAGCCUUCAGUAGCAGGCAGCUGGAGACACCACCACAGAAAUGAGUUUUUAAGACCCUGGGCUGAGUGUCCAGGAACACCUAUUCUUCUGUGGGAGGAAAGAACACAGCUGUUUACCUCCUGUGCCCGAUCCAAACCCAGCGAAUCCACUGCUCGGGGUCCCAAAGCCUGAGGUCUGCUGGGACAAGGACCCGAAGGUGGGUGCGUUCUGACUGGCGAGGGUACCGAAGGAUGCAGUAUUGCCGCUGCUCCCGAACCUGGGUGCGGUGAGAAUGGGACAGGGUUGUCAUGGCCCUAGUCCUCAUGCUGCCCACACCUCACUCACUGUCACCUGUCUUGGAUGUACCACACAGGAGCUGUGGUGACAAGCUUGGACCGAGUCAACAGACUCAGAGGAAACCGGCUUCUAGCCCAGAGUAAGCCUUUACCGUGGCUCUGAGAAGGAAGACAUCAGAAACAUAGUGUGAGAUCCACCUGGGGACCUGAGUCCUUAGCACUGACUAACUCCAGGUCCCUGAGAGCAAACACACUUCCCGCUCUCCUCCUGGACACCCUCACUGAGAGCGACAUUCUCAUCUCUUCACCACCUGCGUGGCCUCAUCCCUGCCAGUCCCCCUCUGCCUUGGCGACUCUAUGUUGCCUAUGCUGGCCUCAAAUACUCCUCCUGCUUCAGCCUCCUGAGGGCUGGUUUCACAAGCUAGUGCUGUGGAGUCUGGUGAUUCCACUCCUUCUAUCCUUUGCUGGGAUGUGUGUCACCACACCUGGUUACAGUGCGAAGUGCAAGCUAAGGCUUCCUGAGGGCUCAGCACGCCUCCCACUGAGCUGCAUGCCCAGCUCUCCACUCACUUUUUAGUAAGACUACGUGUGUGUGAUGUGUGUGCGGAUGCUGGCAUGCGUGUGACAGAGUGUCAUGGUGGUCAGAGGACAACUGUAGAGAAUACAUUCUUUCCUUCCAUCAUGGUUUGAGGCAGCAGCUUUCACGGUGAGGUGAGUGCUUUUACUUACUAAGCCUAUCGGUGGCCUAUCUGCUUUAAUGACUUGGUUUACCAAGGGCCCCCUGCAUAUGAGAUAUGAAGAUAAGUCAUCAUGUUUCCCUUUCGUGUGUGUGUGAGGGGACACUUUACAAGUUAUUUCACGCAGAAUUGUGUUUCAUAAAAAUCAAUAAAUACACGAAGC